rnacentral:lncRNA from 1 species
UGGAAUGCAGUGAGUUAUGCAUGUCACCAUCUCAACUACCCAGAGUAGAUCAGCGUACUGACAGGCAAUUUAUUGGUACACCCUUGGAAUGUAGAAAA